UCGGACGGGUGAGUAACGCGUGAGAAUCUGGCUUCAGGUCUGGGACAACAGUUGGAAACGGCUGCUAAUACCGGAUGUGCCCAAGGGUGAAAGGUUAACUGCCUGAAGAUGAGCUCGCGUCCGAUUAGUUAGUUGGUGUGGUAAGAGCGCACCAAGACGGCGAUCGGUAGCUGGUCUGAGAGGACGAUCGGCCACACUGGAACUGAGACACGGUCCAGACUCCUACGGGAGGCAGCAGUGGGGAAUUUUCCGCAAUGGGCGAAAGCCUGACGGAGCAAUACCGCGUGAGGGAGGAAGGCUCUUGGGUUGUAAACCUCUUUUCUCAGGGAAUAACUCAAUGAAGGUACUUGAGGAAUAAUCAUCGGCUAACUCCGUGCCAGCAGCCGCGGUAAUACGGAGGAUGCAAGCGUUAUCCGGAAUGAUUGGGCGUAAAGCGUCCGCAGGUGGUUUAUCAAGUCGGCUGUCAAAGCGUCUGGCUCAACUAGAUAAAGGCAGUGGAAACUGAGAGACUAGAGUAAGGUAGGGGUAGAGGGAAUUCCUGGUGUAGCGGUGAAAUGCGUAGAGAUCAGGAAGAACACCGGUGGCGAAAGCGCUCUGCUGGACUAUUACUGACACUGAGGGACGAAAGCUAGGGGAGCGAAAGGGAUUAGAUACCCCUGUAGUC
rnacentral:rRNA from 1 species